rnacentral:rRNA from 1 species
AUGCGGGAGUGGGAGCGCCGCGCGGACGAGCAGCGCCGGGUCGUCGCGGAGCUGAUGCGCCUCAUCGGGAUGCCCGAGGUGUACGUUCCGGUGGAAUCGCUGAGAUCCAGGGAGGAGAGGAAGAGGAAACAGGGGACCGCGUCUUCAGAUCCUCCGGGUCCGGUCACAGUGGCUUCAACAUUACUAGAGGAAGAAUCUGGACCAUGCCUCUCCGAUCAGGAACUGCUGGCGACGCCGGCAAGGGAAACGACCGCCGCCGCAGCAGCGACGGAAAGCAGCAGCGCUUGA